UACAGAGACUGCAGGCGUUAAUCGGAAUUACUGGGCGUAAAGCGUGCGCAGGCGGUCUUUUAAGUCAGAUGUGAAAUCCCCGGGCUUAACCUGGGAACUGCGUUUGAAACUGGAAGGCUAGAGUGUGGCAGAGGGGGGUGGAAUUCCACGUGUAGCAGUGAAAUGCGUAGAGAUGUGGAGGAACACCGAUGGCGAAGGCAGCCCCCUGGGCUAACACUGACGCUCAUGCACGAAAGCGUGGGGAGCAAACAGG
rnacentral:rRNA from 1 species